UUUUAUACUCCAACAUCGAAACAUUCUUUAUCGCCAAAUCUUUAGUCUUUUCCAACCCUUGUACAGUCGAUUCGAGCUUUUCCUGUAAGCUAAGCAUUUUAUCGAGCACCUCGUUGACACGCGCAGUAAGCGACAUUACAUCAAACCCUUCAUAAACAUCCUUAACCCCAUAAAACUGCUUGCAUAUAUCCUCAUUAUGCAUGAAGAUGUUAGAAGAAUCCAGCCGAAUAAAACCUAAAUAAGCUGGAAACACUUACGAUUAUGACUAACACUCCAAGAACAAUCUGCAUCAUACCUAAAAUUCUCCCUAAUCUAAACUUUGGAAAGCAAGAAACCCUCAUU
rnacentral:lncRNA from 1 species